CGUACACUCCUACGGGAGGCAGCAGUGGGGAAUAUUGGACAAUGGGCGCAAGCCUGAUCCAGCCAUGCCGCGUGAGUGAUGAAGGCCCUAGGGUUGUAAAGCUCUUUCACCGGAGAAGAUAAUGACGGUAUCCGGAGAAGAAGCCCCGGCUAACUUCGUGCCAGCAGCCGCGGUAAUACGAAGGGGGCUAGCGUUGUUCGGAAUUACUGGGCGUAAAGCGCACGUAGGCGGAUCGAUCAGUCAGGGGUGAAAUCCCAGGGCUCAACCCUGGAACUGCCUUUGAUACUGUCGAUCUGGAGUAUGGAAGAGGUGAGUGGAAUUCCGAGUGUAGAGGUGAAAUUCGUAGAUAUUCGGAGGAACACCAGUGGCGAAGGCGGCUCACUGGUCCAUUACUGACGCUGAGGUGCGAAAGCGUGGGGAGCAAACAGGAUUAGAAACCCUAGUAGUCCCA
rnacentral:rRNA from 1 species